AGGCCACAAACUCUUCUGUUUUUACAGUUUCUUCUGAGUGUGCCGCAAGGCAGUAUACAAAUGAAUCAAAACUUUCAACAACGGAUCUCUUGGUUCUGGCAUCGAUGAAGAACGCAGCGAAAUGCGAUAAGUAAUGUGAAUUGCAGAAUUCAGUGAAUCAUCGAAUCUUUGAACGCACAUUGCGCCCGCCAGAAUUCUGGCGGGCAUGCCUGUUCGAGCGUCAUUUCAACCCUCGAGCUCCCCUUUCGGGGGGAGCCGGCGUUGGGGACCCGGCGCUAACAACGCCGGCCCCGAAAUGGAGUGGCGGCCCGUCCGCGGCGACCUCUGCGUAGUAACAACCACUCGCACCGGGACCCGGGCGCGGCCACGCCGUAAAACACCCCACCUUCCGAAUGUUGACCUCGAAUCAGGUAGGAAUACCCGCUGAACUUAA
rnacentral:rRNA from 1 species